UGCCAGCCGCCGCGGUAAUACGGAGGUGGCAAACGCUGUUCGGAAUCACUGGGCUUAAAGGGCGUGUAGGCGGCCGAUCAAGUCGGAUGUGAAAUCCCUCGGCUCAACCGAGGAACUGCAUUCGAUACUGGUCAGCUAGAGUGCGAGAGGGGUGAGUGGAACUCCAGGUGUAGCGGUGAAAUGCGUAGAUAUCUGGAGGAACGCCGGUGGCGAAAGCGACUCACUGGCUCGCAACUGACGCUGAGGCACGAAAGCUAGGGUAGCGAACGGGAUUAGAUA
rnacentral:rRNA from 1 species